AUUGAACGCUGGCGGCAUGCUUUACACAUGCAAGUCGAACGGCAGCGCGGGCUUCGGCCUGGCGGCGAGUGGCGAACGGGUGAGUAAUGCAUCGGAACGUGCCCAGUAGUGGGGGAUAGCCCGGCGAAAGCCGGAUUAAUACCGCAUACGACCUGAGGGUGAAAGCGGGGGACCGAAAGGCCUCGCGCUAUUGGAGCGGCCGAUGUCGGAUUAGCUAGUUGGUGGGGUAAAGGCUUACCAAGGCGACGAUCCGUAGCUGGUCUGAGAGGACGACCAGCCACACUGGGACUGAGCCACGGCCCAGACUCCUACGGGAGGCAGCAGUGGGGAAUUUUGGACAAUGGGGGCAACCCUGAUCCAGCCAUGCCGCGUGCGGGAAGAAGGCCUUCGGGUUGUAAACCGCUUUUGUUCGGGAAGAAAUGCUCUGGGCUAAUACCCCGGGGGGAUGACGGUACCGGAAGAAUAAGCACCGGCUAACUACGUG
rnacentral:rRNA from 1 species